GCUUACGGCCACACCGCCUGGUAUACGCUUGAUCUCGGAAGAUAAGGUAGGUUGGGCCUGGUUAGUACUUGGAUGGGAGACCGCCUGGGAAUACCAGGUGCUGUAAACU
rnacentral:rRNA from 1 species